CCUACGGGAGGCAGCAGUGGGGAAUAUUGGGCAAUGGGCGCAAGCCUGACCCAGCCACGCCGCGUGAAGGAAGAAGGCCUUCGGGUUGUAAACUUCUUUUCUGAGGGACGAAGAGAGUGACGGUACUUCAGGUAUUAGUCACCGCUAACUGCGUGCCAGCAGCCGCGGUAAUACGUAGGGUGCAAGCGUUAUCCGGAUUUAUUGGGUGUAAAGGGCGUGUAGGCGGGAAAGCAAGUCAGAUGUGAAAGCUCAGGGCUCAACCCUGAGACUGCAUUUGAAACUGUUAUUCUUGAGUGCUGGAGAGGGAGGCGGAAUUCCGGGUGUAGCGGUGAAAUGCGUAGAUAUACGGAGGAACACCGGUGGCGAAGGCGGAUUGCUGGACAGUAACUGACGCUGAGGCGCGAAAGCGUGGGGAGCAAACAGGAUUAGAUACCCCGGUAGUC
rnacentral:rRNA from 1 species